GAACCAAUGGUGUGGUGGUUUGAACAUUAGACUAUGAUUCUAGAGAACAGGGUUCGAAUCCCUACUUGGCCA